UGUGUAGUUGUGAGAACUCAUAAUUUGUAGACCCUUCAGAAUUCACAAUAGAAUGUUGCCUUGUACUUUUUGCCCUAUCUUAGAGAAACAGAAGUAAUGUAGCAGGCCUGCCUCUUGAUUUACUGUGCAUUUAAGCGGAGAGCUGUUGUCAAUAAGUAUUACUGGUAUACUGACUGAUGGCAGUUAACAAGUGUCAGUCAUAGAUUGGUUGUACAAUUCCCAUCUACUCGAAGAGUCCAACAAGGUUCUGCAGAUUUUACAUGUUUUUCUGUCUGUUUAUAUUGCAGAUUUCUCUUGGAUUUGGCUACAAAUUUAUAGAUCUUCUGCACUGUGUACAGGCACAGUUGCUGAUAUGUGUUCAAGAUGAGUGGGAUGGGUGAAAAUACCUCUGACCCAUCCAGGGCAGAGACACGGAAACGCAAGGAAUGUCCUGACCAACUUGGACCCAGCCCCAAAAGGAAUACUGAGAAACGUAAUCGUGAACAGGAAAAUAAAUAUAUAGAAGAACUUGCAGAGCUGAUUUUUGCAAAUUUUAAUGAUAUAGACAACUUUAACUUCAAACCUGACAAAUGUGCGAUCCUGAAAGAAACUGUGAAGCAAAUUCGCCAGAUCAAAGAACAAGGUAAGAUGACUGAAUUAAUAUCUUGGAGAGGUGUGUUGGUUUCUGGUUUUCCAUGUAUGAGAAAUUCCACCAGAGUCCCUUUAAUCCAUUUCUUAUGCUUAAAUUAUUGAUGAGGAAAUGAUGUCACAGUGCAAGAUGAAUACAAGUAUCACUUGCAGUGUUUUAUAAAUAGACUUUGUAUGAAAUUCAACCAUUCCCAAAAGACAGAGGAGACUGAGGAGAGUUGGAGGGGUAUAACUUUUUAUCUACUAAAUUCAGUAAGGUGCCCACUCAUUCUCCUUCCCCCACUUGGAGUUUUCCUAACUUGCACAGCAAGUGACUGUCAUAAUUUGCAAGUGAGGAGCCAGGUUGAGGUGUAAAUCAGAAGUGAGGAAGUGAAGCGCCUCCUGUUUCAAUUAGUCAGCAUAUUUGAUUACGUCUGAGCCUCAAUUGACCAUGCGACUAGAUUAGAAUUUCACAUCCUGAAUGACAAGAGGUUUGAAAGAUUCUAGUCACUAGUAAAAAUUCUUUUGAGAAGUUGAAACACGGACCAUGACAGCUU